rnacentral:lncRNA from 1 species
AAUGCAGUGUGCAUCUUAGAAAUAUCUUUAUUAAGAAAUAGUACUAUGAAAAUUUUGGAACUUCUUUUCCGGAACACUUUCAUUAUUUAGAAAAUGAAUUUAUAGGGGUGCCUGGGUGGCGCAGUCGGUUAAGCGUCCGACUUCAACCAGGUCACGAUCUCGCGGUCCGGGAGUUCGAGCCCCGCGUCAGGCUCUGGGCUGAUGGCUCGGAGCCUGGAGCCUGUUUCCGAUUCUGUGUCUCCCUCUCUCUCUGCCCCUCCCCCGUUCAUGCUCUGUCUCUCUCUGUCCCAAAAAUAAAUAAACGUUGAGAAAAAAAUUAAAAAAAAAAAAGAAAAUGAAUUUAUAUGGAUUGUUUCGUUCUCCAACGAUGCUGGAUCGGUGAGGUGUGAAUUAGACGGUUAGAAGUCCAAAAUCAAGGUGCCAGUUGGUUUGUUCUGAGGGCUGUGGGAAAAGAGUCUAUCCGGGGCCUCUCCCCUUGGCUUAUGGCUGGCCGUCUUCCUUCUGUGCUGGUCUGUGUCCAGAUUUCUCCUUCUGAUAAGGACACCGGUCAUAUUGAAUUAGACCCAUCUUAAUGGCCUUAUUUUGUCUUCAUUACCUCUGUAAAGAUCACGUUUGAAGAUCCAAAUAAGGUCACAUUCUGAGAGACUAAGGGAGUCCCGAGACUCCAACACGUGUUUUUUUCUGGGGGCGGGGAGGGACGCAUUCAACCCAUAACAAGACGUUACUCACGCGUAAGAAAGUUUGACACCUUAUGUCCCGGAAUUCAUAUUAUGUUUUCUAGGACUGAGGGCAAGCAGAAUGGCUUCUCAUGUUUCACACUAAAGAUGGCCUCCCAGAUAAGUGACACGCAGACCCUGGUGAGAACAGUCACCUUUGCUGUAGGAUUACAGCCGGGCACAAAGUCACGAGUGCCACAGGCUGACUGUGGUCAGAUCAAGACGUCAUGUAUGCUGAAACUAGCAUAACGGCGAUUGACGGGGUUGGAGAGCUACAACAAACCUUUAUAACUGAAGAACAAAACUGGCCUCUGAGGCAAGAUAAACCCAGGUUCUCCCUCCUAUAGAAUCCACUGAAAAACAGGAUUUUUCUGACCUCGAAGUAAUGAUUUUGAUGGAGAAGGUGAUUCAGAUCCUAAAAUAUUGGCGAGCAGGGGUUCGACUAAGAAAUAACUCCCUUCAGUAUAUUGAUUGUGAUUUAUGAUGAAAUCUGAGGCUCACGAACAUCUUAAUUUU